GGAUGAGCCCGCGGCCUAUCAGCUUGUUGGUGGGGUAAUGGCCCACCAAGGCAUUGACGGGUAGCCGGCCUGAGAGGGUGACCGGCCACACUGGGACUGAGACACGGCCCAGACUCCUACGGGAGGCAGCAGUGGGGAAUAUUGGACAAUGGGCGAAAGCCUGAUCCAGCAACGCCGCGUGAGGGAUGACGGCCUUCGGGUUGUAAACCUCUUUCAGCAGGGAUGAGAGCGAGACGUGACAUACCUGCAGAUAAUUCCCUCCACG
rnacentral:rRNA from 1 species